rnacentral:lncRNA from 1 species
GUGUGAAUUAAUUGAUCAUGAUGGCAGCUGCUCGUAUGGCCUAAUUCAUAAAUUAUUCUAAACAACUGAACUUAAAGUGUGAAUUGAGGCCAUCAUGGUCAAGUGUCUUUCAUUUCAUAUGUUUUUGAGUGAAUGGCAAUACAAAUGAUAUUUUUUUUACUGAUGUGGUAAAAAACUGUGCUUAAACUGCUUCCUAUAUAAAGGAAUAAACUGUUUGCCUUGUUU